GUUAAAAAGCUCGUAGUUGGAUUUCUGUCGAGGACGGCCGGUCUUCACUAUGUGAAAGUAUCUGGUUCGGCCUUGGCAUCCUCGUGGGGAACGUAGCUGCGCUUGAUUGCGUGGUGCGGAAUUCACGACUUUUACUUUGAGGAAAUUAGAGUGGUCACGGCAGGCAAUUCGCCUUGAAUAUAUUAGCAUGGAAAAAUAAUAUAGGACCUUGGUUCUUUUUUUUUGGUUUCUAGGACUGGGGUAAUGAUUAAAAGG
rnacentral:rRNA from 1 species